AACGAACGCUGGCGGCAGGCUUAACACAUGCAAGUCGAGCGCCCCGCAAGGGGAGCGGCAGACGGGUGAGUAACGCGUGGCAACGUACCCUUUGCUACGGAAUAGCUCCGGGAAACUGGAAUUAAUACCGUAUUUGCCCUACGGGGGAAAGAUUUAUCGGCAAAGGAUCGGCCCGCGUUGGAGUAGCUAGUUGGUGGGGUAAUGGCCUACCAAGGCGACGAGCCAUAGCUGGUCUGAGAGGAUGAUCAGCCACAUUGGGACUGAGACACGGCCCAAACUCCUACGGGAGGCAGCAAUGGGGAAUAUUGGACAAUGGGCGCAAGCCUGAUCCAGCCAUGCCGCGUGAGUGAUGAAGGCCUUAGGGUUGUAAAGCUCUUUCACCGGAGAAGAUAAUGACGGUAUCCGGAGAAGAAGCCCCGGCUAACUUCGUGCCAGCAGCCGCCGUAAUAC
rnacentral:rRNA from 1 species